UACGCCGAUCCUUUUCAUCAUGUUUGCCAAAAAUGUCUUUUCUUUACUUUGCAGGACCUGGUCCAGUUAUUCGAGUUGUGGUGGUGGUGGUGUUACUUUUAAUUGCAGCGUCAACUAUAGGUGGACUUUGGGUGUUAAAAAGGAAAGGAAAAAGUUGGAGUGAUCUGAGGACAAUGACAUGCCGGGACCGAUGCAGGUUAUUUAUACCUUGCAUUAAGGAGCGCAAGAAGCAUGGAGAUGAGGAAAAACAAGAAAUGACAAACACUGUGACUCCCCCGGUGCCUUCAGGAGAACAUAAGAGCCCUGAAGCUGUUCCACUGAUGCCGAGUGUAACUGAUGACAAUAAGCCCCCUGAAGCUAACACAGAUGCAGUGCAUGAAGAGGAACUAACAGAAAAUGAUCCGGGGUCCACAGCUGAUGGAGAGCACAAGGAGCGUGAUGGAAUUGAGGAUAACACUGAAGACAAAAAGCAGCCUGAAGCUAACACAGAUCCACUGCAUGAAGAGAAUCUAGCAGAAUCUUUUGUGGCACCCACAGCUGAUGGAGGUGGGAACUAUUUAACACUGUUGCAUUGGCAUUUAGAAUGGUUUACAUGU
rnacentral:lncRNA from 1 species